UAAUGAGCGUUAAAUAUGUAU
ensembl:piRNA 21ur-11248 ncRNA